GAACUGUGGUGAGGAAGCAGAAGCCAAAUAAGUCCUCUCCUCUCUGAGUCACUUUGGUCAUGAUGCUUCCUCACAGCAGUAAUAAUCCCGAGGAGGACAGACUCAGGAACACCCUGGUCACUGGGUCAGGGUGAGAGAGUCCUCACAGAGAGGAGUUGGCUGUUGAAACAGGGAUCCCAGAGAGGCUCUAGAAACUGGACACUUACCUUUCCAACGUGGAUUUUCUGUCCUAGGAUUCUGCACAUGAGGGCCUUGUUCCUCAUCACCACUGAGCUGAUGGUCAUUUUCCUCAGAGUCCAGCUGCUGGAUGUCUUGAAAGUCCUUCUCCAUGAUGGACCCUAAGAGCUGGAGACAGAUCUGGGACUGAGUUGAGAUUUCCUUAGAGCUGGAACUUUUGUGCUAAGAGUCGAAUUCCUUUGGAAGGACCAAGGGGACCGGGUAGCUCAAGCUGCAGGUCUCCACCUCCACUCUUCAGUGGGGAAGUUCUGCAAGAUGUGGAGGUCGUGACUCCAGCACCUCACUAAGUCCAGGGACACAGACAUCUCAUGCCCUGUGAGUGCUACACAGAAUCUGCAAAGGCUGGGAAGAUGACUCGGUGCAUAAAGGGCUCGCUUCAUAAGCAUGCGGACUUGAGUCCGUCACCCCAGCUCCCUUAGAAGAAGCCAGGCCAGCUCCUCUAAUGCUUUAGAAAGCUGACUCUGUGUUUCGGAGGACUGGUUUCUCUUCCAGAGGACUCAGGUUCAAUUCUCCAGCAGCCACAUGAUGAUUCACAACCGUCUGUAACUCCAACUUCCAGGGCCUCUGGCAAGCUCUUCUGGCCUCCUGAGAGACUGCACAUACAUGAUGUACAGACAUACAAGCAGGCAUAACGCCUACACAUAAAUCAUCUCUUUUAACUUUAAAAACUAUGCUGUUUUCUGCAAAUUAAAUGAAACUUAUACUUCCUCUUUCAGUAAAUGAACAGAAGUCA